UUAAACUAUAAUAAUAUAUGCAUUCAAUUAAGUCGUAAAAUAUUGUAACAGCGGUAUAAAGUUACAAAACGGUUUGGAAUCUGAACCGGAGCGGCGGCGUAUCGGGGACCGGUAAUAAAUCGAUCACAAUAAUGGUAAUGGAUCGUGAUAAAAGAAUCGCCCUGUAUAGCGUGUAUACGCGGCGAAAUUGCGCAAGCCGCAGCAGUGGUUUAUUAGAUCUGCGGUAUGACUCGUGAGG